rnacentral:rRNA from 1 species
CCCUUAGAUGGUCUGGGCUGCACGCGCGCUACACUGACGCACGCAACAGGUGCCUGCUCCGAGAGGACUGGGUAAUCAUUUGAGUGUGCGUCGUGAUGGGGAUAGAAUAUUGUAAUUAUUACUCUUCAACGAGGAAUUCCUAGUAAGCGCCAGUCAGCAGCUUGCGCUGAUUACGUCCCUGCCCUUUGUACACACCGCCCGUCGCUCCUACCGAUGGGUGAUCCGGUGAAUGAUUCGGACUUCAGCGGCUCCCCUGGGGUGCGCCGGAGAAAGUUUUGUGAACCUUAUCACUUGGAGGAAGGAGAAGUCGUAACA